rnacentral:misc_RNA from 1 species
AAGGCAGAAAAAAAUUCAAAGAACCGUUAGAGAAGACCUGCUUAAACUGAAGCAACCUCCUGAAACGAAGGGAAGUUAAACGAUACGAAAUUCAUGUGCCGAAACAGGGAACAAACCACGGACAAAUAAUUGUAAAAGAAACAACGAAGUUGUGAAAGGAGAGAACGUGGCGAAAGCGUUAGGAGCGGCAGCAAGUUUGAAAAUUUUAUUGCGGCCACGGACUAGGAGAAGCGCCGCAACGCAAAUGAAAAGUUCCAAGAUCCAAGAGGGUUUCGAUCCGGCGAUAAGUGCGAGGACUAACACCGAAGUUACGUGCUUCUAUGACAGCGGCGAGGAAAUUGAUGUGCCAUGGAUCGAAAUGGAAGAGAAGAAAGAGGAACAGAUUGACCUUUUGAUCCCGUAGCGUCUACGUGACAUCCAAAGCAAUCCAAUUUAACGACUAGAUCGAAAGAGUGAGUCAAUAGCUGGAUCGUAUAUUUUAAUCCAGCGUCCUUACCCCCACCAUCGAGGAUACGUCUCAACGUUACUGGAAUCGUCUAGACGACUUAAUAUCCAGUGCUAGCUGUAUAUGUAUUGUUUUACCGCUUUUUGCCUGAAUCCAUUACCAUUACAGUAAGAAUAUCAUUAUCAAUAGUUUAAAAAAGAUUGAAAUAAUGUAGAUCGAUUUGUAGUCAAACCACUGGAACGCAGUCGUUGGAUUCAGUGACUGGGCUGGCGUAAACCUAGCUUUAUUUGUUUUUCCACGCACAAUCAUUUUCUCUGUAUUUAAAGUCUAGAUUGUGAAUAUUUUACCAACAUUCAUACAGCAAACUCUAUUCAGUUAAGAAUGACACACAGUGAAGGAAAAGAGAAAGUUUAAAGGGUAAGCACGAAAACAGCACAAUUUUAGAAAAAGGAGUUAUAAUCAACAAAAACAAUUAAAUGGCGAAUAAAUAUGACAUAAAUUACUGUCAUCGGUGUCAUCAACAUGGUAGAAAAUAUCUAGUACUGCAAAGUUACUAUCAAUGUAGUGUAGUUAUCAUACGCAAGUAUUAUAUGAAUUUUAAACUCUCUUUUUCCCGCCACUGUAUAUAAACUAAAUAGAAACAGAAUAAAAUAGAUAUAAUAGAAUCAUUCAUCGUCUAUGUACCGGGAAAACAACAAACUGUACGGCGCAAUGUUGAGAUACAUAGAUAUUAAAACUGAAAAAACAUAG